rnacentral:misc_RNA from 1 species
UUUCCGUAGGUGAACCUGCGGAAGGAUCAUUACCGCGCGAGGGUCUCUCAGGCCCGUCCUCCCACCCUGUGUUUUUGUGACCUUGUUGCUUUGGCUGGUCCGCCUCGGUGAUAGGCCGCCGGUAGCUCACCGCUUUCGUCCCGUGCCCGCCAGUAGCCCCCUUACAUUCUUAAUAAACCUGUCUUCUGAGUCUAGCUAUAAUAAAAAAAACUUUCAACAACGGAUCUCUUGGUUCUG